rnacentral:lncRNA from 1 species
UGACCUUUCUUCCUUGUUAUGAUUAUAACUUCAUGUAUUGACCUCUGAUUUGGACAAAACUUAUUUGAUCAGAAUAUAGACUCAUAAACCUUUGUUUUGAUAACUUAUUUUAAGAAUUCAGAGUAAGUUUGUCUGCCCAAACUUCUGUUUCAAAUGAGCCUACAGAUUCUGCAAAACAGGGAUCGUAAUUUCUGACCUUUUGAUACUGAACUGCUUAUAAGUCC